UACGAAGGGGGCUAGCGUUGCUCGGAAUCACUGGGCGUAAAGGGUGCGUAGGCGGGUCUUAAGUCAGGGGUGAAAUCCUGGAGCUCAACUCCAGAACUGCCUUUGAUACUGAGGAUCUUGAGUUCGGGAGAGGUGAGUGGAACUGCGAGUGUAGAGGUGAAAUUUCGUAGAUAUUCGCAAGAACACCAGUGGCGAAGGCGGCUCACUGGCCCGAUACUGACGCUGAGGCACGAAAGCGUGGGGAGCAAACAGGG
rnacentral:rRNA from 1 species